GCGUUGCUCGGAAUCACUGGGCGUAAAGCGCACGUAGGCGGAUCGUUAAGUCGGGGGUGAAAUCCUGGAGCUCAACUCCAGAACUGCCUUCGAUACUGGCGAUCUUGAGUCCGGGAGAGGUGAGUGGAACUGCGAGUGUAGAGGUGAAAUUCGUAGAUAUUCGCAAGAACACCAGUGGCGAAGGCGGCUCACUGGCCCGGUACUGACGCUGAGGUGCGAAAGCGUG
rnacentral:rRNA from 1 species